UGAGAACAUCACAAUUUUUCCCUUAUCGCU
rnacentral:piRNA from 1 species